UAUAAUUAUAAUAAGAGGUGCUGUAAGAAUUAGUUUUUAAUUGAUAUUUGCACCUCUUAGAGUUAAAUGAGCGUUGUAAGGAUAAUUUUAGUGAUACUUGUAUGUCAUCUUCUUUUGCUGAGAAACAUGUAUGUGUUCUUUCAAAUUCACUAAUAGUGAUUAUUUAUGAAGUGAGUUUAUUGAUGAUAUAGGACUCGAGAAUGUG
rnacentral:lncRNA from 1 species